UACAGAGGGUGCAAGCGUUAAUCGGAAUUACUGGGCGUAAAGCGCGCGUAGGUGGUUCGUUAAGUUGGAUGUGAAAUCCCCGGGCUCAACCUGGGAACUGCAUUCAAACUGACGAGCUAGAGUAUGGUAGAGGGUGGUGGAAUUCCUGUGUAGCGGUGAAAUGCGUAGAUAUAGGAAGGAACACCAGUGGCGAAGGCGACCACCUGGACUGAUACUGACACUGAGGUGCGAAAGCGUGGGAGCAAACAGG
rnacentral:rRNA from 1 species